rnacentral:rRNA from 1 species
CCUACGGGGGACAGCAGUCGAGAAUCAUUCACAAUGGGGGAAACCCUGAUGGUGCGACGCCGCGUGGGGGAAUGAAGGUCUUCGGAUUGUAAACCCCUGUCAUGUGGGAGCAAAUUAAAAAGAUAGUACCACAAGAGGAAGAGACGGCUAACUCUGUGCCAGCAGCCGCGGUAAUACAGAGGUCUCAAGCGUUGUUCGGAAUCACUGGGCGUAAAGCGUGCGUAGGCUGUUUCGUAAGUCGUGUGUGAAAGGCGCGGGCUCAACCCGCGGACGGCACAUGAUACUGCGAGACUAGAGUAAGGGAGGGGGAACCGGAAUUCUCGGUGUAGCAGUGAAAUGCGUAGAUAUCGAGAGGAACACUCGUGGCGAAGGCGGGUUCCUGGACAUUAACUGACGCUGAGGCACGAAGGCCAGGGGAGCGAAAGGGAUUAGAUACCCUAGUAGUC